rnacentral:rRNA from 1 species
UAGGGAAUCUUCGGCAAUGGGGGGAACCCUGACCGAGCAACGCCGCGUGAGUGAAGAAGGUUUUCGGAUCGUAAAGCUCUGUUGUUAAGGAAGAACGAGUGUGAGAAUGGAAAGUUCAUGCUGUGACGGUACUUAACCAGAAAGGGACGGCUAACUACGUGCCAGCAGCCGCGGUAAUACGUAGGUCCCGAGCGUUGUCCGGAUUUAUUGGGCGUAAAGCGAGCGCAGGCGGUUAGAAAAGUCUGAAGUGAAAGGCAGUGGCUCAACCAUUGUAGGCUUUGGAAACUGUUUAACUUGAGUGCAGAAUGGGAGAGUGGAAUUCCAUGUGUAGCGGUGAAAUGCGUAGAUAUAUGGAGGAACACCAGUGGCGAAGGCGACUCUCUGGUCUGUAACUGACGCUGAGGCUCGAAAGCGUGGGUAGCAAACAGG